CCUACGGGUGGCAGCAGUGAGGAAUAUUGGUCAAUGGGCGGGAGCCUGAACCAGCCAAGUCGCGUGAGGGAAGACGGUCCUAUGGAUUGUAAACCUCUUUUGUCGGGGAACAAAAGCCGCCACGCGUGGCCUUCUGAGAGUACCCGAAGAAAAAGCAUCGGCUAACUCCGUGCCAGCAGCCGCGGUAAUACGGAGGAUGCGAGCGUUAUCCGGAUUCAUUGGGUUUAAAGGGUGCGUAGGUGGUUUUAUAAGUUAGCGGUGAAAGACCGAGGCUCAACCUCGGGGCUGCCGCUGAGACUGGAGGUCUAGAGUUCGGGAGAAGGAGGCGGAAUGUGUGGUGUAGCGGUGAAAUGCAUAGAUAUUACGCAGAACACCGAUUGCGAAGGCAGCUUGCUGGCCCGGAACUGACGCUGAGGCACGAAAGCGUGGGUAUCGAACAGGAUUAGAUACCGGGGUAGUC
rnacentral:rRNA from 1 species